GGACCCGCACAAGCAGCGGAGCAUGUGGUUUAAUUCGAAGCAACGCGAAGAACCUUACCAAGACUUGACAUCGCAUGAAAGCAUCAGAGAUGAUGCCCUCCCUUCGGGGACAUGUAGACAGGUGGUGCAUGGUUGUCGUCAGCUCGUGUCGUGAGAUGUUGGGUUAAGUCCCGCAACGAGCGCAACCCUUAUCAAUAGUUGCCAAUAUUAAGUUAGGAACUCUAUUGAGACUGCCGUGGAUAACACGGAGGAAGGUGGGGAUGACGUCAAAUCAUCAUGCCCCUUACGUCUUGGGCUACACACGUGCUACAAUGGCUAUUACAAAGAGCAGCGAAGCGGUAACGUGGAGCAAAUCUCAAAAAGAUAGUCUCAGUUCAGAUUGUGGGCUGCAACCCGCCCACAUGAAGUCGGAGUUGCUAGUAAUCCCGAAUCAGAAUGUCGGGGUGAAUGCGUUCCCGGGUCUU
rnacentral:rRNA from 1 species